CAAGAUGCGCCCCAACGUGUAGCUUGGUUGUUGGUUCUCAUUUCAUAAGUAGGGUGCUCCUAUCUUUAUUCCUGAACCAACGAGUGUAUCUAACGCACUCAACAAGUACUAGGGGUGGGCAGAAUUUUCCAAACCCAAUAUACUCCAUCACUAUAUCGGAUACGAAGUCGAGAAACCCGAAUUUAAUUAGAAAAAUCGGGUAUUGAGCCCUGUAUUCGAACUUCUGAAUUACCCGAAGCAAGUGCAGUUGCAUUGAUCUCCACCUCUACGUCAAAAGAAAGCUAGUAAAUUGGAUUGCUUGUUCAUUUGAUCCACCGAUUCAACUUUUU
rnacentral:lncRNA from 1 species